CUUGGAAACACCAGUUCCUGUAUGAUCACAGAAGUUAAGCAACGUCGAGCCUGGUCAGUACCUAGAUGGGUGACCGUUUGGGAAUACUAGGGGCUGGA
rnacentral:rRNA from 1 species